GGAAAAAGAGGAGUGGCGAACGGGUGAGUAACACGUGGGUAACCUGCCCAUCAGAAGGGGAUAACACUUGGAAACAGGUGCUAAUACCGUAUAACAAUCGAAACCGCAUGGUUUUGAUUUGAAAGGCGCUUUCGGGUGUCGCUGAUGGAUGGACCCGCGGUGCAUUAGCUAGUUGGUGAGGUAACGGCUCACCAAGGCCACGAUGCAUAGCCGACCUGAGAGGGUGAUCGGCCACAUUGGGACUGAGACACGGCCCAAACUCCUACGGGAGGCAGCAGUAGGGAAUCUUCGGCAAUGGACGAAAGUCUGACCGAGCAACGCCGCGUGAGUGAAGAAGGUUUUCGGAUCGUAAAACUCUGUUGUUAGAGAAGAACAAGGAUGAGAGUAACUGUUCAUCCCUUGACGGUAUCUAACCAGAAAGCCACGGCUAACUACGUGCCAGCAGCCGCGGUAAUACGUAGGUGGCAAGCGUUGUCCGGAUUUAUUGGGCGUAAAGCGAGCGCAAGCGGUUUCUUAAGUCUGAUGUGAAAGCCCCCGGCUCAACCGGGGAGGGUCAUUGGAAACUGGGAGACUUGAGUGCAGAAGAGGAGAGUGGAAUUCCAUGUGUAGCGGUGAAAUGCGUAGAUAUAUGGAGGAACACCAGUGGCGAAGGCGGCUCUCUGGUCUGUAACUGACGCUGAGGCUCGAA
rnacentral:rRNA from 1 species